rnacentral:rRNA from 1 species
CCUACGGGUGGCAGCAGUGAGGAAUAUUGGUCAAUGGACGAGAGUCUGAACCAGCCAAGUAGCGUGAAGGAUGACUGCCCUAUGGGUUGUAAACUUCUUUUAUAUGGGAAUAAAACGUUCCACGUGUGGGAUUUUGUAUGUACCAUAUGAAUAAGGAUCGGCUAACUCCGUGCCAGCAGCCGCGGUAAUACGGAGGAUCCGAGCGUUAUCCGGAUUUAUUGGGGUUAAAGGGAGCGUAGGUGGAUUGUUAAGUCAGUUGUGAAAGUUUGCGGCUCAACCGUAAAAUUGCAGUUGAAACUGGCAGUCUUGAGUACAGUAGAGGUGGGCGGAAUUCGUGGUGUAGCGGUGAAAUGCUUAGAUAUCACGAAGAACACCGAUAGCGAAGGCAGUUCACUGGACUGCAACUGACACUGAGGCUCGAAAGUGUGGGUAUCAAACAGGAUUAGAUACCCGGGUAGUC